AUUGUAUCUUGAUCUAUUUGAUGCUCUAUUAGUCUUGCCUCUAAGACAAAAUUUAGCCCAAGAACCUCUCAAAAACAACUUACGCCCAAUGGGCAAAUAUUAACACUACCACAUUGUGUCUUGAUUUAUGAAAUGUUCUAUAACUCUUGAUUUAGAAGUAAGACUUAACUCAAGGAUUUUCAAACAACAAGUUAUGACCCCCAAGCAAGACUUGACACUACCACAUUGUAUCUUGAUUUAUGAGUUGUUCUAUAAUUUUUUUCUUAGAGGUAAAACUU
rnacentral:lncRNA from 1 species